GAGUUUGAUCCUGGCUCAGGAUGAACGCUAGCGACAGGCUUAACACAUGCAAGUCGAGGGGCAGCGGGGGCGUAGCAAUAUGCCUGCCGGCGACCGGCGCACGGGUGAGUAACACGUAUGUAACCUGCCCUAUGCAGGGGGAUAACCCGGAGAAAUCCGGCCUAAUACCGCGUAACACCUUUUGGGAGCAUUCCCGGGAGGUUAAAGGAGAGAUCCGGCAUAGGAUGGACAUGCGUCGCAUUAGGUAGACGGCGGGGUAACGGCCCACCGUGCCGACGAUGCGUAGGGGUUCUGAGAGGAAGGCCCCCCACACUGGUACUGAGACACGGACCAGACUCCUACGGGAGGCAGCAGUGAGGAAUAUUGGUCAAUGGCCGAGAGGCUGAACCAGCCAAGUCGCGUGAGGGAAGAAUGUCCUAAGGAUUGUAAACCUCUUUUGUCGGGGAGCAAAAAGGCUCUGCGGAGUCGUAUUGAGAGUACCCGAAGAAAAAGCAUCGGCUAACUCCGUGCCAGCAGCCGCGGUAAUACGGAGGAUGCGAGCGUUAUCCGGAUUUAUUGGGUUUAAAGGGUGCGCAGGCGGCGUGUCAAGCAAGCGGUAAAAUAGCGGGGCUCAACCCCGUCGAGCCGUUUGAACUGGCGCGCUUGAGUUCAGGCGAGGUAGGCGGAAUUCGUGGUGUAGCGGUGAAAUGCAUAGAUAUCACGAAGAACUCCGAUUGCGAAGGCAGCUUACCAGUCUGCGACUGACGCUCAGGCACGAAAGUGUGGGUAUCGAACAGGAUUAGAUACCCUGGUAGUCCACACAGUAAACGAUGAGCGCUAGGUGUCCGGGUCGCAUGAGACUUGGGUGCCCGAGCGAAAGCGUUAAGCGCUCCACCUGGGGAGUACGCCGGCAACGGUGAAACUCAAAGGAAUUGACGG
rnacentral:rRNA from 1 species